ensembl:lncRNA
CCUGUUAAUUACACAAUUUUAGCAUUUCUUUCAGCUUUUAAUAGUUCAUUUAUAAAGCAAGUGUUGCAGACAUUAGAACACAAUCACAUGCAGCUUGUCAUUGGUGGGAAAAAAAGAGAAACUAAACAAGGAGAGUCUAGUCCAAAGUAGGCACGAAAUAAAACACAAUAAAGCUUUCUUCUACCUUUUACAUAAGGACCUUAGAACAGUAACCAUAGAACCAAAAGAAAGCCCCUUGCCUGGAUUUCUGUUUUUGAGCAAACAGGACCCUUUUGUGACCCAAACCAUUGCUUUUAUUCAUUUUGACAUUAAACGUCACUCUUCAAAUAUGCUUAUAUUUAUAAUGCCAACUCUUUGUGACACAUCCGGCCACUGUCCCCCCCAAAACAAGGUGUUUAGAUGUUCUUCACAGUGUCUGGACAUUAGCAUAGACAGAAAGAUCAUUUAAAAGUAUGAUCAAACAUGACAGGGGUGGAAAAUGGCAACCACAUUGAUCAAGAACUUGCAUAACUUGAAGAAACACCCAUGUGGUGCCGGUUUUACGUGCAUAAAUUACGCAUUUUGUGUAUGCAAAGAUUAUGCAACGGGUGUUAUGGUCCAUCUGGAGGAUGAUGGGAGUGUGGUGGGCUGAGGUUUAUACAAUCACAUCUGAUUUAUUUUGGUGCUGAAAAAGUUUCAUAAAAUUGACAUAGCUGGUAUUGUUAGCAUAUCAUCCAAAUAGCCAAAUCUGACACUGGUCAAUUUAGGUUGUUCCUUCCUUUGUGCAACAAAGGUUUGUUUCUCAUUGAAUAGACUGCCUUUCCUGUGACAUGUACCGACCCAUUUCCCUGCCGGCAUAUAAUCCCCAGAUCAUACUGUAGUUGGGUUUAGGUCACAGAAGGGCUUGUCCAGCUAACAACCCACCCUCUUUCUCUGACACCAUCACCAUCCUUGGAACUGGAAUAAAACAUAGAUGUCGGCUGGGAAGGACUAUACAGACGAUUCCAACAGGAAAAACAGACUGGCCAACAUCUAAAUCUACCCUUUGACCUCACCCUAACCUUAACUGACCCCUUCAAUUUGGCACUGAAACUAGACCUAAUUCUAACCGACGUAGAAGUUGAAUUUUGGUUUGUACGGAACAAUAAAGUCUGCAUAGCCCUUUCCACGUUUUUAGCCUGGGACUUUGUGGCUAGAGUACCUGGGUGGAACGGGAUGAGCAGAUAGAGGCACAGACAAUGAAAAGGACACUGGUAGCAUGUUGAGACCCCUGUGCUCUACAGGAGACCUACAACACACAAUUUUCACUCAAAACCCCCCUUCUCACAAAUCCACUGUCGCCCCAUUAUAGCGAAAUACUUUCUGUCCCGUCUAUUAACCCGUGGCUGGUUUGAUGCGGUCCCUGCGGCCAGAAAAAACAAACAUUUCCUGCAUGUCGCUGAGACAGAGAAAUACCUGGAUGUAUGAUGUUUUGUGUUAUUUUUAUUUUUUAUACAGUUACUGUAAGUAGUAGUCACCUUUUGGAAACAAAAAGAAAGGCUGCUGGUGAUCAAGACGAAAAUGUUGUCGGACACAGAAUGAACGUAAGCCCAGUGUUGGCGACAGAGGCAUAGUUUAGACAUCAGCUGAACCGUUGCUAAGUGUUAUGUCCCAGACAAUGGAGUUGACCGUGGCGCAACACCACCCACGCAGGCCAAAUAUGGCAUGAGUGCGUGUGAAACAAAGCAUGGUUCAGCAUGAACGCAUUUCUUAUUUCAGCUUUAAAUAAUAAGUAUUACCUUUCCUGUUAAACAUGUGUAACAGCUAAAUAUUUAGGAUCGUUUUCACUUCUCCCCCAAAAAAACUACCCCUGCAGAUCAACUAUGCAAGACGGAGCCUUCAACCUGAUACAGAAGAAACACUGAGUAACAUUUUACAACGUAGCGAAAAUCAUUCAUACCCCUUUAUGGCACAGCUAGAGAUAUGGAGAUCUGUCACAUACCUGUUCUUGCAUGAAUAUUGGCAGAGGGCUUCCAUUACUUUAGAUCAGUCAACUGGGUGGUAUAUCCAGCUCCAGCUGAUGAGCCUUAUCCUGAAGAAAAUGUACUACAUUAAAUGGGAGAUACAGUGUCUUCAAUGAGGCUGCUCAUGCUGGCACAAGCACCCUAGUGGCACAGCUACAGAUGAGACCUUGUUGCAUUUCUAUGGGCACAGCA